rnacentral:lncRNA from 1 species
CACAAUCUACACUGCAGUACUACUCAGUGUCCACCGCCAGUGUAGAUAAUGCCCAUGACACUGGACAGCAGGAACCAGAAGCUCUACCACUGUAUCACAUUCAUGAAAGACUUUGCAACUUUUGAUAUUAUCUCCAAAUGAAAUUACACACAAAGGUUGAAGAGAGACAGCGAUGGGACAGAAUGAAGUUGUUCUCCGCCUGUAAACUGUGCAUGAUGAUUGGACCAGACUGCCUCAGUUACACUAUGAAUUCAUAAAUUUUCUGCAACUUUUGUAAUUCUGAUCUAGUAUUUCUUUAUUGGGGGCACCUGUUUCAGAAAGUAGAAGUGGCCAGGAUCACCUUUGA